rnacentral:ncRNA from 1 species
UUGAGCCGGAUGAGAGGAAACCUUCACGUCCGAUUUUGAGGGGGGGAUUCUAUAGGAAUGUAUCCCAAUUUCUCUUUUGCCAGGCCCAUAGCUAAAAAACCAACAUUCUUACGAUUACGAGGUUCAUUCAGAUAUGAAAUCCAAUCCCAGAAAUACAGCAUCCCACUUUUUUUUUACUACCCCAU